GUCGAACGCUGGCGGCGUGCUUAACACAUGCAAGUCGAACGAAGUGGCGCACGGGUGAGUAAUACGUGUGUAACCUGCCCUCCUUGUGGGGAUAAGCCUUGGAAACGGGGUCUAAUACCCAAUAAAGGGGGAUGGGCUCGCGGCCUAUCAGCUUGUUGGUGGGGUGCUGGCCUACCAAGGCGGUGACGGGCAGCCGGCCUGGGAGGGUGCACGGCGACAGUGGGACGGAGAUACGGCCUAGACUCCUACGCGGUGGAGCAGUGGGGGCUAUUGCACAAUGGGUGAAAGCGUGAUGCAGCGUCGCUGCGUGGGGGAUGAAGGUUUUCGAGUUGUAACCGUCGUUCGCUAGCGAACGGGUAGGUGGAGAAGAAGCGCCGGCUAACUACGUGCCAGCCGCCGCGGUAAUUC
rnacentral:rRNA from 1 species